rnacentral:rRNA from 1 species
UACGAAGGGGGCUAGCGUUGUUCGGAAUUACUGGGCGUAAAGCGCACGUAGGCGGAUUUGUAAGUCAGGGGUGAAAUCCCGGGGCUCAACCUCGGAACUGCCUUUGAUACUGCAAGUCUUGAGUCCGGAAGAGGUGAGUGGAAUUCCUAGUGUAGAGGUGAAAUUCGUAGAUAUUAGGAAGAACACCAGUGGCGAAGGCGGCUCACUGGCCCGAUACUGACGCUGAGGCACGAAAGCGUGGGGAGCAAACAGG